UUCACGCUCUCUCGCAUGAGUCGGCUCCCGUGAGGUCAGAUGACGCCGUUCGCCCGCGCGGUGCAAGCCAUGCGGGGUCGCUUCGGUGAUCACUCGGCGCUCUCGGGGGUUAUGCCGGCCGCGGUGGGCCGCACUUCUCCUUCAGUAGGACGUCGCGACCCGUUGGACCACGGUCGACGGCCCCGGUGGGAGCCCUUGGCGGUGUCUUCGGACUCUCGCCUCGGACCCUGGGAGACCUGGCCGAUCGUCCGACGGUAUGAGACGCAGGUGUUGGACCGCCCCCUUUGCAGGGCGUCCGGGCCGGUCGCAAGCUCGAGCGCGCGCUCAGGAUGACGGACCUUGUGCCCGGCUCCUGGCCCGUUCAGCUGUUGGCGGCCGUGUCUUCGGACGGGUUUUGUAACACUGGUCUGCGAUGUCAGUUUGAGGUACUUAUCCGACCCGUCUUGAAACACGGACCAAGGAGUCUAACAUGUGCGCGAGUCAUUUGGGUAACAAAACCUAAAGGCGCAAUGAAAUUGAAGGCGCGACUUGUCGUGCCGAGGGAGGAUGGACGUGCAGCCCACGU
rnacentral:rRNA from 1 species